UUAGAAAGCGUUAAAGCUCGGACAUACACAAUACCCACUUAUCCUGACCAUCUUAUCUUAUUCCCCUAAACUUACCAGGCCGUUCCAUGCCCCCAUGGAAGCGACUAUGCUAAUAUGAGUAAUAAGAGGGCCCCGGCUCUCUCCCCGCACACGUGUAAGUCGGAACGGACCUCCCACCGACCCUUAACGGCCCCAAACAAAGAGGGAAUUGAACCUUACAACAGAUAACAAGAAAACCCAACAAGAAUAAACCGUUACCCCCACACAGGUGUGCCCCUCGGGAAAGACUAAGAGAAAGAGAAGGAACUCGGCAAACACAUUAAAGCCUCGCCUGUUUACCAAAAACAUCGCCUCUUGCAAAAAUAAAAAAUAAGAGGUCCCGCCUGCCCUGUGACUAUUAGUUUAACGGCCGCGGUAUUUUGACCGUGCGAAGGUAGCGCAAUCACUUGUCUUUUAAAUGAAGACCUGUAUGAAUGGCAUAACGAGGGCUUAACUGUCUCCUCUUUUAAGUCAAUGAAAUUGAUCUCCCCGUGCAGAAGCGGGGAUACUUCCAUAAGACGAGAAGACCCUAUGGAGCUUUAGACACUAAGGCAGCUCAUGUCAAAAACCCUACAAUAAAAGGCUGAACCAAAUGAGCUCUGCCCUAAUGUCUUUGGUUGGGGCGACCGCGGGGAACUAAAUAACCCCCAUGUGGAAUGGGAACACCUCUCCUAAAACGAAGAGCUACAGCUCUAAGCAACAGAACUUCUGACCUUCGAGAUCCGGCAAUGCCGAUCAACGAACCGAGUUACCCUAGGGAUAACAGCGCAAUCCUCUUUUAGAGCCCAUAUCGACAAGGGGGUUUACGACCUCGAUGUUGGAUCAGGACAUCCUAAUGGUG
rnacentral:rRNA from 1 species